rnacentral:rRNA from 1 species
UGUCCCAGCCGCCGCGGUAAUACGUAGGGUGCAAGCGUUAAUCGGAAUUACUGGGCGUAAAGCGUGCGCAGGCGGUUUUGUAAGACAGUGGUGAAAUCCCCGGGCUCAACCUGGGAACUGCCAUUGUGACUGCAAGGCUAGAGUGCGGCAGAGGGGGACGGAAUUCCGCGUGUAGCAGUGAAAUGCGUAGAUAUGCGGAGGAACACCGAUGGCGAAGGCAAUCCCCUGGGCCUGCACUGACGCUCAUGCACGAAAGCGUGGGGAGCAAACAGGAUUAGAUACCCUGGUAGUCCACGCCCUAAACGAUGUCAACUGGUUGUUGGGUCUUAACUGACUCAGUAACGAAGCUAACGCGUGAAGUUGACCGCCUGGGGAGUACGGCCGCAAGGUUGAAACUCAUAGGAAUUGACGGGGACCCGCACAAGCGGUGGAUGAUGUGGUUUAAUUCGAUGCAACGCGAAAAACCUUACCCACCUUUGACAUGUACGGAACCCUUUAGAGAUGAAGGGGUGCUCGAAAGAGAGCCGUAACACAGGUGCUGCAUGGCUGUCGUCAGCUCGUGUCGUGAGAUGUUGGGUUAAGUCCCGCAACGAGCGCAACCCUUGCCAUUAGUUGCUACGAAAGGGCACUCUAAUGGGACUGCCGGUGACAAACCGGAGGAAGGUGGGGAUGACGUCAAGUCCUCAUGGCCCUUGUAGGUGGGGCUACACACGUCAUACAAUGGCUGGUACAAAGGGUUGCCAACCCGCGAGGGGGAGCUAAUCCCAUAAAGCCAGUCGUAGUCCGGAUCGCAGUCUGCAACUCGACUGCGUGAAGUCGGAAUCGCUAGUAAUCGUGGAUCAGCAUGUCACGGUGAAUAUGUUCCCGGGUCUUGCACACACCGCCCGUCACACCAUGGGAGCGGG